AAUACGUCUGACGUGUACAAGGCCUUUUUAGGGCCCUACUUGAUAGGAAGUCCCUCUGGUGGCCGUCUGAGUGACGGCCACUGGAGGUAUUCCUAUCAAUCAAUGUAAACACUGUAUUUUCUCUAAAAAUACAGUGUUUACAUUAGAUUGUCUGCAGGGAGCUAUAGAUCUCACCUGAACAACUACAUUAAGCUGUAGUUGUUCAAGUCACUAUAGUGUCCCUUUAAUGGUCUUCCUGCUUCUGUGCAGGAAAUUUAAAGGACCACUCCACACCCAUAAAGCACUUCAUCUUCAGUAUUAAAGAGCCACUAUUUCUAGAGAAAUCUGCACUUUUUUAGUAAGGUAAUGAAGCAUCCCUGGCUGUCAAUAAAGCAGUCAUGGCGAUUUGCUUUUAUCUUCCUUUAGCUCCCCUCAAGUAGAACGCGCCUGCCUCCCCCCAAAUACUUCUUCUCAGACCUUAGAUCGGGGCAGCAUUCAUUCUGAAUGCUGUGCAGUUUGUGUGUGCCCCCAUGAGUAGAAGCGCAUGAUUGAGCAGGAGCGCACUUGCACAGAGACAUAGUUUCAGAGGCUUCUCAUUGAGAAGCCUCUGAUAGGCUAUUUCCCCCGUGAAGAAACAGUCUCUUCCGGGUGAAAAGGGGCCUGCUUGCAAAGGCUACAGUUUAUAAGAACUCGGCUUUUGCAAGUUCUUUUAAAGGGACACUAUAGGCACCCAGACCACCCCAGUGGUCUGGGUGCAAUGUCCCAUAUCCCUUAACCUAACAGUGGUAAUUAUUGCAGUUUCUGAGAAACUGAAAUAAUUACCUCUCAGGGUUAACUCCACCUCUACCAGACAGCCACUUAAGGGACAUCCGGGUGUUUAGAUGACUUUUCGUCAGUGCCACCGGAAUCCCCAGAUGAAAGCAUUAAUCAGUGCUUUCCUAUGGGGAAAUCCUAAUGCAAGUGUGGCCAUUGCCGCACAUGUGCAUUAAGGGUUCCCCGCCGGCUGAUGCCAGGAGAGGAGAGUGGGCGGAGCUUGACCCAGCGGACAUCUGGAUUCAGGUAACAG